UCGCUACUAGUGUCCUUUUCAGCUGAAUCGCUCAAUAAAGACUCCUUGGCGGAUUUUCCUUCAACUUUGGCGGACCUUCUUCAUUUCGGCUUCAGGUUGUAUUGCGGCUCAUAUUCUCCUAUUGGCUCCGCCAAGGUCCAUUCUCUCAGGACCGGAUCGGCUCUCUCCUUAAGGGGCCCGAUCCCCUAGAAACGCGGUCGACAACAUAAUUUGGCUUUACCACGAAGGGACUUGCUUGGAAGUUCCAAAAAUCAAUUUCUAGGCUAAAAUUCCAAGCGGCGACCUUGGUCCAGAUAUUCUGGAACAGGUUGGGGAGAGAAACGGCUGCAAGGAGGGCCCUCCGACCAACAAUUUGACCUCAUUUCACAUCCAAAUUUCUCUGGCAGUCCCUUUCUCUCUCUAGAUCUGAUUCAGGGUACUGAACAAAGGAUCCAGAUAGGAGGAAGCAGAUUUUUAGCUCCUCGAAGGAAAGGCGCCAACGUGAAACAGGGGAUGCCCUGAAAAAAAGGGAACCGGCUCCGUUGUUGAGACCCAGGUGGGCGGAGCUCUGGAGGUAUUGCACUUCGGAUCAGGGCUCGGUAACAAAUUCCUGGUGAAACGCGGGAACAUCUGGCACCUGGAGGCGUGUGAGAACAGUCUGGCUUGCAGAUUACAGGUUCAAGGAUCGUGGGGUAGGGGAACGGUUGUGUUCCCGGGGCACCUGCGGAUUCCACGAACGCCAGCCAUUCAGCCUUGGUGGAAGGAACUCUUGGAAGGACGAGCUGCAUCUGGCCGGUUGGGUGAGUCGUUACACCAUUAACUGUCAGUGUAGGCAGGGGCUGAGCCAAGGAUGGGUGUUUGUUCAGCACGUCUAGGGUGUCCCACCCCAGCAGACAUCCCCAGGGAUUCUCCAUUGGGCAAGAUCCUGGCCAAUUGGGGUGGGCUUGCAUCGAAAAGCAUGGUGCAGGCCAGGUUGGGCUAACUCAGCGCGCAUAAGUGGCCCCUCGUGGCCCUUGAAGGGGGAACAGCUUGCCCCCCCCCGCUUGAGUCGCCGAAUUCGGAGUGUUGACCUAAGGUGACUCACCAUGGGGAGGGCAGGUGGUUCCAGCUUGCUUAUGCCGCGAUGUUCAUGGCCCUAAAGCCAGGGAGAGAAUUGGAGGGGGGAGGGGGUCCACGUCUUCCCAUGCAGAGAUUUGGGCUCCAAAAACAACCCCCCCAAAGAUUCCUCUCUAGACCCUUUCCCCUUAUCCCCUCCUCCAGAGGAUUUUCUGGACACAUUUGCUUGCCUUCUCCCCCCACCCCAUCAGCCCAGGCCCUCUGCCCCAUCCCUAUCCCUACUUUUUCUCCUCACCCUGAGUCCUACACUGAUCUAGGACUCCCAAAUUGGCCUUCCAAGGGAACCCUUGCUUCAGGGAUCCCCCCCCCCAAGAAAUUCCCCUCCAGAGAGUUCAGCCCAGUCUAACGUGGAGGAGGGCUCCCAGCCCCCUCCCCUCUCACCCCAAAACACACCUGAUCCAAAACACUGCUCCUCUUCUCAAGUCACACUCUCUCAGCCCCCAUCCCAGCCGUUCCUUUGAAGCCUGAUGCCCCCCCCCAAUUGUAUCUGCCCCUGCCACUCAACUCCUGCCACAUUCUGAGUUUUCCUCAGAUGGGAAGAAUCACCCCACCAUCCCCCCUCCUUCUCUUGCCCCCACCAGGCUCUCUCUCUCUCUCUCUCUCUCUCUCUCUGCGCUCAUUCCUCUCUUGGAGAGAGAGGAGAAGGAGGGGCCGCGGGGAGAUUGUGCAAAGAGGACACUUUUUUUCUCUUCCUGUUUUUGGAGGGGCAAAGGGGGGAGAAGAUUCAGUCCUGAAGCCUGCCACCAAGAUCUAUAGUUCUCCAAGGAUCGCUUCCUUCUUUCAAAUCAAAUCUUCUCCAACUUGAUAUUCUGCCUUGCCUACCCUCAAAUUGCACCCUUUUUUUUCUUUUCUCUCUCUCUCUCUUCCCCGGCCUGAGUGAAAAUCUCUCUCUCUCUCUCAAAUCUCAAAUCCGUUUCUCCUCUCCUUCCUCUCUUCUCACCUUUUAAAAUCCCUUAUUUCCCUUUGUUCCCAUUUUCUAGACACUAUCCCUAAGAUUUUACCUCAGUGUUGUCUUAUAUUUCCUUUGGUCCUUACAAAAGGGGGGAGGGGGGCCAUUCCUUUAGCCGCUUCUGUUUCUUAAUUUCCCCUUUUCUUUCUCUCCCAUCUGGGAAGCAUGGCAAAGGAUUUGGGUGGGGGAGGGGGACUCCCAGAAAAGUGUUGGUUAAAUUUUGUGUGUUUAUGUAAUGUGUGGGCUGUAAACUCUUCUCUACUCAUCCCUUUGCCUUAAAAGCCACCAGUGAUAUAUAGUUUUCUGGGAAGGAGGGCUGGAAUGGACUAGCUUAGUGCUAUGCUCUCUCUCUCUCUCCCUUUUCUUCUGUGCCAUCUCACCUCCCUAUUUUCAAAGGUUCAAGCCCUAAUAUUUUGUGACCCCCCCCCAGAGAAAUCCUGCUGCUUCUGUGGUUUUAACUUUUUCUUGUCUCUCUCUUCUCAAACCUCCCUUAUCUUAGGGACAAAGGGGGGUGGAAGAAUGCAUGUAUUUUUCUAUAUGUGAGUUUUUUUCUCUCUCUCUCUCCCUUCCACUUCAUGUUUUCCUAGGCCAAAAUGCGCUUCAACAUUCUCCUUUUUCAAAGCUUUCUCUCCCCCCUUCCUUCCCCUGUGAAGGGAACUCCCAGCAUCCCCAUUUCUCCUUAUAAACAUACAGUCAAAAUCCUGGUUUACUUUUAUAGUAAAGGCACUCUUUCACUCUCCACAGUUCCCCAACAAUCUCCUUUCUUCCUUUCGGGUCCUUCUCCCUCCCUUUCCCUGAGUGCAUGCGUGUGAAUGUUUUAAAAAUCCCUCUAACUGCCUUUAAAUAUGAGGGGGGCAGUACAGAGUCCAGGGGACCUUCCAGGCACAGCUGAAGAGAUCCAGAGGACCGGACCCAACCACCUGACUGAGGACAUCAGACCAGACUGCAAGACCCAUAAUCCAUACCUGCCACCAUGAACAGUUCUAAGACCUGGGUAGGGGCUCUCGGAGUGCGCUGUGGAUUUCAUGCAGCAGCUAGAACCCAGAGGCCAUUGGAGAUGGUCCUGUGAGGGCUUUUAUGGCCAGACCACCGUAUGGUGCCCUCCAGCUGGCCUGGUUCUGCCCUGGCAAAGGGCUACUGAGUGCAGGUCUGCCUUUGACGCUGCCAAGGAGGCCCUCAUGACAUCACCAGGGGACAGAAUUGGCCGCCAUGGCAGAAGAUGUCCCAGAAGAAAUGAACAGGAUUCUACCAGUGACCACCAUGAGGGAAGGAUGUUCCACUUUCACCAGAGCUGUGCCAAAGAAGGACCCCAGGACUGCUGGAGCCCUCACAAGGUAUGAGUGACUUCCCUGACUAACCCCACCAGGGGAGGGAGGGGGGCUUAUAAUCUGUCCUUAGUUUCCCUAGGCACUCUCUCCUUUCCGUCUCCUCUGUUGGAGUGCUGGACCUGCCUGCAGUCACCAGGAGGCGCCGUGCUGUGAGGCGCAGAAGCUGUGCCCAGUUGCCCCCAGCUGCCAACUACAAAGGGGGGCCCAAGCUGCAGCCAAGAAAAGGCAGCCAAAUGGGAGUACUGCAUCACAGCCUCCAUCAUCCCCAGCCCUCACCACCUCCACCUUCAUGCUCCAGUUCCCAUGACUCCAGACCAAGGGACAUCUGUUUCAACACCAUGGGAUCACCCACCACUGACUGAACCUCAGCUUUCACCUCUUCAAGCUCCUGCCCUCCAACAAAAAGGCACAAUCUGAUCUACCAAGGCAGAGGCCCUGCAUGCAGUGAAAUGUCGGGGCUUUGGGAAAUGUUCAUAGCCAUUUCCAAGCCCCGAAGGAGGGAAAAUGUGAUCGAGGUGACCACCCCCCCCCCCAGGACUUUGUAAAAGAUAGUUCAAAAACCAAGACUUUAUGUUCUAUAUUCCAUAUAUUUAUAGUAGAAGGUGAUUGAGACUUUUUACUGGAGUUUACUGUGGAUUAUCCCUGCACUCUGAGGCAAGAGAUAACAACUCCAUGAAUUGUGAAAUCAUGCUGCUAAAACUCCACUUUUAUGAAUUUCCAUAUUUGGGUUCCCCAGAUGUUGUGAACUUCGUUCUUAUCAAAUGUUUUCAAUUGUUUAUAUCAUUCAUGAUUCCCCUUUAUGCAAUGUAACCCACCUUUAUGGAUUCUCCCUUAUUUCCUUGAAAUCUAUCUAUCUGCCUAUAUGUAUUUGUACUCUUUGGGAUCCCCAGAAAAUAUGUGUUUUUCCCAGCUGGGUUUAUGUUCCAACUUUAUUUUAUUUUUCAUUUUAUUUCAUAUAAUUGUCAAAUCAUGAAAUCAAAUGGGAAAUAUUUUGACCCCAACAUGAACCCCAGCUCCUAUGACCCAGGUUUACCUUCCCCAAAACAAAAGGUGAUUCGCCCCCAAGGCAAACAUUGUCAUAUCUCCUCCAAAGGGAAAACCAGGACGUCUCAGGAAGACGCCCUGCUGCGCCCAUUGCCACCCAUCCUUACUUCCCCCUGACACCUUAAGGCAUAUCUGAAAUCAGUGUACAUGACAGGGACCCCUGAUGACUGUCAUUAAUCCCUUUAGAAAUCGGCCGGGCAAGGACUAAUCUGAUAUUUCCUGCCCUGUCACUUCAUUGUUUCAAUAACUCCCGCCUUCUCCUUCCUGAUUGGCUCGAGUGGGGACAAAAAGCAGCUCCCUAUUGGGCCAACAGAGCAAGGCGGGAAACGAAAGCCCGCCUCGUUCAACCUUCUAGCCUAUCCGCGAUCAGAUAGGCGGGGGAGUGGGGCGGGAAAUUCAAAGGGCUGUCAGACCGAAACAUUGUAUAAAUAUGGCUUUAUUUGAAACAUAUGAUACGCUAGUAGACUGAAUGAUCGCUACUAGUGUCCUUUUCAGCUGAAUCGCUCAAUAAAGACUCCUUGGCGGAUUUUCCUUCAA